GAUGUGCACUGGUUAAUGCAUGGAAUUCAGCAACAGCAGACUUUGUUCCUUUGAUGGAUCCAGAAGAUCGCCACAUCAAGGAAUAUGGAGGGAUGUCCAAAUUUCUACCAAAGCAAUGCUGUUCUGUCCGCAGUAGGCAGUUUGUGUGGAGGUCCAGGGGCCCAGCCAGGUUGCAGCUGAUGAUUCUGUAGAAAGGCCUAAAAUUAGUUUUAGAAAAGCAUACUCAAGACAAUAGACUAUUAUUACAUGGAUAAAAAAUAUAAGAAUAAAGACUGUAAACACAUGUUACCAAAGUGAAUUCUUGAAAUGGAAGAGAAACUUGGCCUUCUUUAGCUUCACCAUUUGUUCCGGCCUUCCACCUCCAAUAAUAGUAUAUGUCUCAAUCCUUGUCUAUACUCCAAAUUUGAAUUGUAUAAUUCAAUUGGUUAAAACUUA
rnacentral:lncRNA from 1 species